rnacentral:lncRNA from 1 species
UUUACCGAGUAUGAUGAUGAUGAUAUGUAUAUAUAUACUAUAUAAUAAAAGAAAAUGUUAGGGGACACUUGUCACCAUUAUAGGCCAUCUAAUUUUUGGUUUUCCCUCUUCUCUUCAACGUAAUUAUGGAACAUUAUUAUUUAAUUAUUAAUAGUUAUUAUAUUCAUUAACAAGUGAAUUUAAUAAGAAAUUAAUUAUGAAUUUUCUAAAUAAACUUAUUUCUUUAACUUCAAAACUUAUAUUUAAGUCUUCAAAUAUCACCAAAUUCAAAAUUAUGUUUGUUAAAAUAUUAUAAAAAGGAAGAAUGAUAAUAGUUUUUUAUAAGUGAUUUACAAAAAAGGUCAAAUAUUUCAUGUGGCUGGAUGGUUUGAAUAGUAAUAAUAUGUCAAAUUAUAAAAAUAAAAUAAAAAAAAAGGUAGGUGGUAUUAAAUAAAUCAAAAUUUUAGUCCUUAAUUCUUUAUAUGUAUAUUUAUAAUUGUAAUUUAAGUUAGCUUAACUGUGUUAAAAUGAUAUUUAAAGGAGUAAGCCCACUGUUGAAUUAACAUUUAUCAAUUACAUAUAAAAAAGUUAAUACACCGUGAAAAAAAAUAUUUAAAAAUUAACAUAACCAUAGUUAUAAAUGUCACAUCAAAGUUCAUUUUUAUAGGCAUAUUUUCACGACUGUAUGUGUUAAAUGAUGACAUUAUAAUUUAUUCAACGCGUAUAAUAUAUAGUUUUUUUUUUCAACUCGUGGAUUCUGACCUAGUAAAUGCAAUAUACAAACACAAACAUAAUGUGAAACUUUCUACAAAGAAUUAGAGUUAGAAGCUUACAAUUUGAAGCUUAAUUGUUUUGCCAUCUUGUUCCACAGUGCGAAUUUUCUACAAAAUAAAUACGAAAGUCGAAAACUGGUAAAAUAACGAUCCUCUUAAAUAGCAAUCUGGUUCUGGUCUAAGUCAAACUAAAAGGUCAAUUGAGAAUCGCUUACAAAGUCAACCCCAAUGGUGCUAAUGUAACUUUCCAAGUACGAAUCAUCCUGCAGUUAAAAAGAAGUAUGACAAACGAUACGAUAAGCAUGCACAUCUGACUGUAUGUUUUAAUUAUGUAAGUGUACUAAGUUUAUUUAAAAAGCAGAGAGAUUAUUAAAUAAACUUACAGCAAAACGCAAUAGGAGACAUGAUUUUCCAACUCCUGAAUCUCCAAUGAGUAAAAGCUUGAACAGAUAGUCGCUGCAAGAGAAAAAAAAAACUAUUAAACUUGACAACCCAAAAACUAAUACAUACAAUGAAUCAUCAAAAUAUAUAAACGCAAUGUUUAAUGCUAUCAUUCAUCUUAUAGUAAUAUAAAUUUAGGGUGACAAUUUUUGACGCGAUGCGAAAAUAAUCAAGGCUUGGGUUGGGCAGUGUAACAUGUUCGAUAAAAAAGCCGAGUUUGAGUUGACUUUCUAGAAGGUCGUGCUCGGGGGUACUAAAAUUUCACAAGUUGACCCGUUUAAAAGUAGGAUAAAAAUAUAUGUUUUAUAAGUUCAACCCACCAACUCGUUUACAACUUACAAAACUCCCAAAUAACUAUAACUAUCAUCAAUUUUACAUCUUGAAGAAAUAUCUAAAAAUUCAAAACCAUCCCAUAAAUUCAAUCUUAAAAUCCACCGCAGAAAACAAAUAAAAGUUAAUGCAUCUUGAAAGUGAAUCUCGCUUAUAACCAACCAGUCACAAAGACACCGUCCAUUAAAGUCUCAUCUGGGGGGCUGUUUGGCAACAUCUGAAUAGUUAAGUGCUGAACCAGUAAGAGGUCUGAAUCAUUAAGUGCUGAACCAGUAAGAGGUCUGAACCAUAAAGUGAAGAAAUGGUUGAAGAUGUAAGAGGUCUGAACCAUUAAGUGCUGAACAAAUAAGAGGUCUGAACCAUUAAGAGCCUGUAUAAUGCUUAACCGUUCAGAGGCAAAUGUCUGACCAAUUCAGAUUAGAGGUCUUAAUCAUUCAAACUCUGUAUAAUGCUUAACCAUUCAGAGGCAAAUGUCUGAACCAUUCAGACAUUUGUUCGUGAAACAUCUGAACCAUUAAGUAUUGAACCAAUAAGAGGCCUGAACUAUUAAGAGCCUCAUUAAGAGGUAAACAAACAGCCCCUAGGUCCGUUUAAUAUCAAAACUUUCACUUUCAAAAUAACAAUUUCAACCUCCCACAAAAAAAAAGAAGAAGCUUCACCAAUAAAACCGUAAAAAUCCUUAUUACUUAAUUCUAACGCUUGAAGUAACGCUUAUUUGAUUUGUUUUGAAUUUUCAUUUGGAUCUUUGAGCUUGUAAGCACAUCUGUCUGUGUAACAUAAUCGAAUGGCUUUGUAUGUUUAGUGUUACAUGGGCUAUGUAAAGCAAGUGUCUAUUCGUGAUGGUUUCAACUCUUUUUGGCAUUUUUAGGUUCAUCAAUUUCAACCCACCGAGCCGAACCCGCCAAACCUAGCACUUGCAAAACUCCCAAAUAACUAUAACCAUCAUCAGUUUUACCUUGAAGAGAAAUCUAAAACUCCAAAAGCAUCCCAUUAAACUUCAAAACUUAAAAUACAACCCUAGAAUAAAAAUAAUGCAUCUUGAAAGUCAAUCUCUCUUCUCUCUUGUAAUCAACCAGUGACACAAACACCAUUCACUAUUCAACUGGCUGUUUGGUAAUAUCUGAAUGGUUAAGUGCUGAACCAGUAAGAGAUCUGAAUCAUUAAGUGCUGAAUCAGUAAGAAGUCUGAACCAUUAAGAGCCUGUAUAUUAAUGCUAACCGUUCAGAGGCAAAUGUCUGACCAAUUCAGAUUAGAGGUUUAACCAUUCAGACUCUGUAUAUUGCUCAACCAUUCAGAGGCAAAUGUCUGAACCAUUCAGACAUCUGCUCGUGAAACAAACAGUCUGAACCAUUAAGUGUUGAACCAGUAAGAGGUCUGAACCAUUAAGAGCCACAUUAAGAGGUAAACAAACAGCCAAAGUUACAAUUCAUUAAAACCACAUCUAAGUCUCCGUUUAAUAUCAAAUCUUCCACUUUCAAGAUAAUAACUUCAACCUCCACAAAAAAAAUAAUAAUAAAUAAAUAAUUAUAAUUUCAACCACCCACAAAAAAUAUCAAACUAAUUAUUUGUUUCAACCUCCCACCAC